rnacentral:lncRNA from 1 species
UUGGAUGAGAAGAAUGAGCCUCAUUCUGAUUCAACAGCAGAGAUCAAAUAAAAGACCUCUGUUUUCUUGCCACCAGAUAUGUUAUCUGUGCUUGCAGAACUGAAAAGCACACAUCAAAGGAGCAUUCCCUUGAAGGGAGAGG